rnacentral:lncRNA from 1 species
CUCAGAGCCAGAAGGAUGGUGGCAUUUUUCCUAGUAACUUAUGAAGUCUGUAGCUUUUCUUCUGAGAUUUUUUUUUUUUUUUUUUAGGUGGAAAUGCUUGAUGUUAUGCUAUGAACCAUGGCUUUUCUUUUUAAAAACACUAUGAUAAAGGAAGUCUAGUUGCAUUUCUUUUCCAAUAGAUUGGGUUUUACUUUUGCUUAGAAAAUUACAUGCACACCCAUGCACACAAUUUACCAUGGUUAUUUUUUAGUAUAUAUAGUGUACUAUUAUUAGUAUAUAGAGAUACAAAUUGAUUAUAUGGGUGAUUUACAGAGAAAAUAGAAGUAAGGUGAUACAUUAAAGAGGAUGAUGGGGAAGACAGUUUUUAAGGAGAUUGCUCAGGAAGACAGGAGUCUGCUAAACUGCAGAGAGUAGGAAAGAGAAUGUUGUAUCCCACUGGUCAGUGUGGAGGGACAGGAGACCUCUAUUCUGGUCCACGCUUCACCGGUAACUAAAAGGGUGGCCUUGGGGCCAGUCAGUCCUCCUUUGCUUUUUGGAGUUCCCAUCAGCAACCCUAAAGGUUUGGAUUGCUCAGCAUUUUGCUUGGCUGGAUUAUGCUUGACACCCAGUAUUUGGCUCCGGUAUCAUCUCCUUGGAGACCCCUCCCUGGCUCCCCUAACUCUUGUUGACACACGUGCUUGAUGUCCCUCUCUCCUCUUUCCCUGUCACCUUAUCCCUUGGUAGAGGUUUUAUUGUCUUCAUAACUUCCAUCACCGUCUGCGUUUAUGUUGAUUCCUCAUUCAUUUGUGCCUUUCCUAUCUUUCCCCACUGGAACAUAAGCCCCAUGAGACCAGAGACCUUGUCAGUCUUGUUCACCACGCGCAUCCCCAGCCCCUAGCAGUUCCUGGAACAUUUUGGACCCACAAUGAAUAUUCGUUGAGUGAAUGACUAGAUCAGUGGCUUUUAAACUAGAGAUGUCUCACAAGUUUUUCAGGGAUGGAUGUAAGAAAGAGAGACAGAGAUACAUGUGGUGGGCCUCCAAGUUCCCCACCUCCUGUUUAAUUAUGUGUAUGUUAUGUAUAUGUGUUAUAUCUGUGUCGAUAUAUAUCAAGAGGUCUUUUUUGGCUGCAUGUGAGGCAUACAGAAGUUGCCAGGUCAGGAAUCAAACCCACAUCACAGCAGCAACUGGAGCCACGGCAGUGGCAAUGCCGGAUGCUGAACCUACUGACCCACACGGGAACUCACUAUAUAUCACUAAGUUUCUAAUGACACUAAAAUAUAUAACGUUAUAUAUUAAAAACAUGACUCCAUGUGCUACAACCAUUUGAAACAUACAGGGGCAUGAUGACCUUUUAAGAUUGUUCCCAGAUUGGAAUUUCUGUCGUGGCUUAGCGAAAACAAUCUGACUAGCAUCCAUGAGGAUGCAGGUGCGAUUCGUGGCCCCGCUCAGUGGGUUAAGGAUCUGGCAUUGCCAUGAGCUGUGGUGUAGGUCGCAGAUGCAGCUUGGGUCUGGCGUUGCUGUGACUGUGGUGUAGGCCGGCAGCUACAGCUCCGAUUUGACCCCUAGCUUGGGAACUUCCAUAUGCCUCNAGAAAUCAGACUCUCAGGGUAUUAAAAAAAAAAAAAGAUUGUUUCCAGAUUGAAAUUCUAAAGCCCAAUAUCUCAUGAAUAGAAAAUAUUGGUGCAAGGAGGAGGAUAAUGGCAUAGAAGUUACAUACAUUGAGUGCCUUGCUGUAUGCUGGAUCCUAUGUCAGGCCUUUGGGCCACCUAGGAGAGGCAAAGUUCUUGUUGGAUGAUGUCUAUAUUUUAAUGAGAAAGGGUGCACGGACAGAGAGUCAACAAACAAAUGAAAGAAUGAGAUCAAUUUAACUAGUGAUAAAUAAUGUACAGUUCUUUGUUCCUUAAGGUGGCUGAUUGGAGAAUGAUUUGGGUUCAUUAAAAUGAAGUAAACACUCUGAGAAGUGACACAUGAUAACCCUAAACAAACGGUUACCUUCAGAGCUAGAAGAUGGUCUCCUUUGCCAGUGCUGCUCUGAGCCUGGACGGCUGCCUGCACAGUGGUCCAGGCUGUGUGCUGCUUUGGUUAGUCUGUGCAAGAUGCUGGUUCUGAUGCUUCUAAGGAGGAGGGUGGCCAUGUCAGCAUCUUCUGUUCCUUGAAGCUAUUGUGAUCAUUUUGUUAGAAGUCAUUGAGGCUUGAGAAUGAAAGAGGAAUGGCUGAAAGGCUUCUUUUGAGGAAAAGAAGAAUAUCAUCUCUCUUUAGCCAUAGAAACAGGAAAGAAAGGGUCAGGAGAUGAGCACCUGGGCCAGAAGGAAGUGGAGGCAUAGCAGGCUCUCUCAGGAGGCAGGCAGAAGUGGUAACUGGUUUGCAAUAGUCAUCAUAUCAUCAUCCUACAGGUAUACAACCAUUAUUGUCCACACAGAAACCCCGUGUUGUAAAUAAGGUGAGUGUAGCUUUUUUAUACUAUACAGAGCAGCUGAGAAAUACUACUAAUGUCUUUAUUUUUGAAUGGCAAAUUUUCAGUUUAUCGAAUGUGUACACACAAGUUAACUCUGUUUAUUCUCUGGGGUAUUAUUAUACUCAUUUUAGAGACUGGUAAGAGGCUUGAAUUGGCCUAUGCUAACUCUGCUAGUGUGUUGAGCCACUGUCCUGACCUCUGGGUUCUGCAAGGCACACAGCUGACAGAGUGGAGUAGCUGGGCCCCAAAUGCACCACCGAAUUUGCAUCUAAGAUGAGGACAUAGAGUGUCUUGAGCUCCCAGAAGCACACCCACACAUAUUUUGAAGCAAUGACUCUCCAAGAAAGAAUGGAAAUCAUGAAUGGAAUGAGGAUGUCAGACACCCAGGGCACAUCAAAUCUAGAAAAGGGAGGCUGGAAAAAGACAGUCUUGUGUUUUUUUUUUUUUUUUUAAUUUUAAAUUUUUAAAAAAUUCAUUAAUUUGUAAGAAUACAAGGCAAAGUGAGAAAACAUUUUGAAUUUAUGAAAGCCUGCACUUUGCUACCUUUAUUUCUUAUGAGUCUAGUGAGUCAACCCGCAGGUCUGGGGAGAGAGGGCUCCAAGGUUGUUAUGAAAAGAAACUUGAUCCUGAAUCAAAGAAGCAGAUUCAUCUCUGAAACCAAGAUUGGUCUAAGUUUUUCUCCUUGCUGUUGCUUAUUUUGGAAUCAGAUCUUAGAUGGAGCUUAAGGGAGAGACCUGCUACUCUGCUGAAAAGUGAUUUUGAAUGCAUUCAGAUCCAGAUUGAAUGUAUUUUUUUAUGCUGAUGGUGGGUGUUUUCUCAUUACCUUGAAAAAAAUAUAGGGCUUCAUAGUUGUUAAGAUUUUUACUUCAAGGUGGAGAAGUGCCUUAUUUAUCUUUGUAUUUCCAUUGUCAUAACAGUGUCAGACAUCACAUAAGCAAGUAUUUGGUAAAUGUUGAACUAAACUGUGGGGAGCAUGCAUUUUUAAAGGACCUCAACCCUUUAUAUUUCUAUGGCUAAAUGUUCUCUGCACCAGCUGUGAAACACUGAUCUUUGAGGUAUUCCUUUGGUCCAAUAUUUUUUAAUCAGAUUGAUUAAAUGUUUAACAUGUCAGGUACUCUUCUAAGUGUUUUUGGAGUAUCAACCCAAGUUUCCUCGUAAUCACAUUAUCAAGUGGGUUGGUGUGAUCUUAUUUCCAUUUGACAGAUGAGGAAGUUGAGGUGUGAGAUCUGCCAGGUCACUCAGUCAGAUAUGGUGGAGUUGGGUUUGAGCAGAGUGGAUGAUGCCACUGUCUGUGUGUCUAGUCAUGGUUUCUGACUACCUCUAGAAGGUAAUUACACAUGCGAUCUCAGACUGCAGCUCACACAUGAGCCAAGCCUGAGUUUGAAAGCCAUGUGCAGCAAGACAUCUGAAAGUUAAUAACAAUUAAGACCAACUCAUCCUCCAAAGUGCAGAGAGAAUUCAGAAUGAAUGCCUACAGGUCACAGAUUACUCUUUGAAACAGCUGCCAUUCCCAUAUUUUUUAAGAGUUAGAAAGUGCUUGAACAUGUAGGAUCUGUGAGUGACAAAUAUGUUUCAACUUGCAUCCCAGGGAAGGUUGGAAGUUGUCACCUGGUGGGCUGUAUUGAGGAUUCUAAGGAAAUAUCUAAGCUCUGUGGGAAAGCAGGCCAUGGUAGUUCAUUAUUGAUAUCUACGGUGGGCAGAGAGAAGGCAACAAAGCUGAUAAGUCAUUGGAGUGGCUUCUUCAAGAUUCAGGAAUCCAUACCUGGAGAUUCUUGGUGAAAUGUUCACUUUACAUGUAAGAAUGUAUCAAGGGGCAGAUUAUACUGUGAGUAGGCCUUGGAUCCAUUUAAAGAAUAAACUUAGUUUUACCAAAGUUCA